UACGGAGGGGGCUAGCGUUGUUCGGAAUCACUGGGCGUAAAGCGCACGUAGGCGGCUAUCCAAGUCAGUGGUGAAAGCCCGGAGCUCAACUCCGGAACUGCCAUUGAAACUGUUUAGCUUGAGGACGAGAGAGGUGAGUGGAAUUCCCAGUGUAGAGGUGAAAUUCGUAGAUAUUGGGAAGAACACCGGUGGCGAAGGCGGCUCACUGGCUCGUUUCUGACGCUCAGGCGCGAUAGCGUGGGGAUCAAACAGG
rnacentral:rRNA from 1 species